UGGGGAAUUUUGCACAAUGGGGGAAACCCUGAUGCAGCGACGCCGCGUGAUUUAGAAGGCCUUCGGGUUGUAUAAAUCUUUUCUAUGGGAAGAAAAUGACAGUACCAUAGGAAUAAGGACCGGCUAAUUACGUGCCAGCAGCCGCGGUAAUACGUAAGGUCCGAGCGUUGUCCGGAAUCAUUGGGCGUAAAGGGUACGUAGGCGGGUAAGCAAGUUAGAAGUGAAAUCCUAUAGCUCAACUAUAGUAAGCUUUUAAAACUGCUCAUCUUGAGGUAUGGAAGGGAAAGUGGAAUUCCUAGUGUAGCGGUGAAAUGCGCAGAUAUUAGGAGGAAUACCGGUGGCGAAGGCGACUUUCUGGCCAUAACCUGACGCUGAGGUACGAAAGCGUGGGUAGCAAACAGG
rnacentral:rRNA from 1 species